CCUCCGCUCAAGCCUCCGCUGCGCUGUCACGGCUGCUCGAGUACUGAAGCGCUGCGAAACGCCGUUAAGCGUAACCCCCAACACACAGCUCGAAUAGCUGCUGCUAGAGCCGUUACAAUGCUUUACAAAGAGCUCCAUCUGCUUAAGAGUGCAUAUGCAGCACCUAAAAUACUCGGUGGUCAAAGGAGCAUUUCUGCUUUAGCCCAAGAAGGACACUGAACACGAAGCCUAGAAGAGCCAGAGAAGUUUCCAGGUAUGUUUAUUACAUCAGGGAAUGCCACAGUACAAGUGGUAAUCAGGAAACAAAUGCCACUACAUUAAUGGCAUGAGCACUGUCUUCAGUGAAAGCUUAGACCAGUUCAUAAUGUGUUGACUAUUAUUC